CAGCCGCCGCGGUAAUACGUAGGGUGCGAGCGUUGUCCGGAAUUAUUGGGCGUAAAGAGCUUGUAGGCGGUUUGUCGCGUCUGCUGUGAAAAUCUGGGGCUUAACCCUGGACGUGCAGUGGGUACGGGCAGACUAGAGUGUGGUAGGGGAGACUGGAAUUCCUGGUGUAGCGGUGGAAUGCGCAGAUAUCAGGAGGAACACCGAUGGCAAAGGCAGGUCUCUGGGCCAUUACUGACGCUGAGAAGCGAAAGCAUGGGGAGCGAACAGGAUUAGAUACCCCUGUAGUCCCUGUCUCUUAUAC
rnacentral:rRNA from 1 species